rnacentral:lncRNA from 10 species
UUGGCACGGCGGCUGGUUCUGAGAGGGCCAAAAGAAGCUGGAGGCGGGAGCCAGGGCUCUCCUCUGCUGCUUAAGCGACGCUGGCAGGAGCUGGAAACAGGCGCAGCAGAUCCAGUCCUCCUCUUUCUUCUGGUAGAAGCAGCCGCUCUUACAGAUGCUGUAUUUCCGAUCCACUAUCUCCUUCUUGGAAUUGAGGAAGGUGAACGGCGGGCAGCAGUGUAUGCUGAAGUGUUCGGAGUACUUCUGGUUUUUGGAGAGUCUGGGACCCUCCUUGGCCGGUUUCUGACUCAUCUCACUGGAAAUCGCCGAUGCAAGGAGACAGGAGGAGACAUAAACGCACAUCAGGAAAGGGAGCCCUCUACUCUGGAAGCCCCCUGCUACUCCCAUAAUCCAAGGUAACAUUCAGGGGGGCCCUACAGAGCAACACCCUGGAAGACCAACUUCCCCCCAACUCUGUGGAAAGGAACUCAACUAACAGUUCAUUAAUUUUCAUUUGUGUAUUUUUAAAAAUCGUGUUUUUAAGGAGAAAAAGAAACAUGGGCUCUUGUUUUCCUUAUGUUUUAGAGACCCAUGUAAGAUAGGAAAACAUUUAAAACCAAACAUAUCCUUGACUAAAUAAUAUUCUAGAGUUAGGAAAAGCCUUUUCUCUAAAAAGCAAAAUAAAAAAUUUAUUAUUAUUUAUUAUUAAAACAAUCAUCAUUCAUGCAAUAAAAUACUACACAAGGAAAAAGAACAAACUGCUGACCUGCUGACAUACAUCAACACAUUUUGAUCUCACAGACAUACCAUUGAACAAAAGAAGUCAGACACAAGAAAACAAGCUGUGUGUACAGGAGGUUCAAGAACAGGCAAAACUAAUCGAUGGUGCUAGAAAUCAGAGCAUAGUUAUAUUUGGAGAAGGUGGGUUCCGACUCAGAAGGGGCAACAGGGGAGCUUGCUGGAGACUGAAAACAGUCCUUCUAGGAAUGUGACAGAUGCAGAAAUAGUCCUACCUAACACUGCAAAACACCGAAGCCCACAGGGGACUUACGUGACUAUCAAUCAACAGGAAUCAACUUAGUUAAUGGGCAUAAACUGGAUACUGAGAAUGUCUCUGCUCUCAACAAACUCAGGGUCAGGUUGGAGAUGCAUAUGUGCAGUAUGUAAUUACAAAACACUGUUAUGUUGGCCAAUACAAGUGUGUACAAAGCAUGGAAAAAGGAUGGAUUCCUUGAAGACAGAACCUAUAAUCUGGGUUUUUAAGGAUGAGUACAGAACAAUAACUAAAUAACUUUGAGGGGAUAUUUUAAUUUUUUUGUCUGUUGGUGUGGUUGUCUUCUACUACAAAUAGAAAUGACAGCUGAGAAGCAGGUAGAAUGCAGUUACAAAUACGUUGUUUUUGCACCUCUGUUUGUGAUCAUCAAAAUUGUGUGUCACAUCUGUUAUGUAUGUUAAAAAUAUUCUUUCCCAAUGUUUCACUUGAUUUUAUCAUGCAAAAAUAGUUUUAUGUAAUUAAGUAUCUUAGAUCUUAUUAAAGGUUUUGUAUUUUUCCCAGAAAGUUUUCCCCAUUCUGUCAGCUUUUAACAUACUCAUGAUGCCCCAUUUUAAAAGAAAAUCCUCUCUGGAUCCUGCUCCCGUGUCUUUUUGCUUCCCUAUUACCCUCCUCUUUUGUAUAGGUAAAGUUCUUGAAAAGGUAUUAAUAUUUUUUCCCUCCAUCUUUACAUCUUCCACUCACUCACUCAUCAGUGCACCCCACUGUGGCUCCUGGCCCUUUCCUCCCAAGGAAAAAUGACUCUACAUAGCUCCCCACAGACCUCCAUGCUGCUAAACCAAUUGCCUUCAUAUUUGGUCUCUCUCCAUCUAAAGUCUUUCCUUUCCUGUGACACCACAUUCUCCUAGAUCUCCUCCUCUAUCUCUAGUCUCUCCUUGUCCAUUUCCCUUAUAGGCUCAUCUGCUUUUGGCAAAUCUUUCAUUUUUUUAACACUAAACUUUUAAUGUUAGAGUUAUUUAAGGUGUAAUAAAUACUAAAUAAUAAAUGAAGUUACCUUCACCCAUUUAAUUUAACAUUUACUAUACACUUUGGUUUUGCCUGGCACAGUGCUCAGUUCACAUACUGGACACAAAGCUAAAUCAUGCUGAGUCCAGUCCUCAAGAAACUUAUCCACCAGUGGGAGAUACAGGCAAGUAAGUGAUUAGAAUGCACAUAAUGUGCUAAUGGCCAGAAAAACUUCAUUUACUGAGACCAAAUAAGUACAAGUCACUGAGAUGAGGA